rnacentral:rRNA from 1 species
UACGGGGGGGGCAAGCGUUGUUCGGAAUUACUGGGCGUAAAGGGUGCGUAGGCGGUGGGGUAAGUUUGAGGUGAAAGCUCCGGGCUCAACCCGGAAACUGCCUUGAAAACUAUCCGGCUAGAGGGUUGGAGGGGAGACUGGAAUUCUCGGUGUAGCAGUGAAAUGCGCAGAUCUCGAGAGGAACACCAGUGGCGAAGGCGGGUCUCUGGA